UGCAAACUUUGGUUGCGUUGCUGUUGUAC
rnacentral:piRNA from 1 species